AAAUCUUUCGGGAAUGGAAAUGAAAUGAAAGUGGCGAACGGGUGAGUAACACGUGAGCAACCUACCUUACACAGGGGGAUAGCCGUUGGAAACGACGAUUAAUACCGCAUGAGACCACAGAAUCGCAUGAUAUAGGGGUCAAAGAUUUAUCGGUGUAAGAAGGGCUCGCGUCUGAUUAGCUAGUUGGAAGGGUAAAGGCCUACCAAGGCGACGAUCAGUAGCCGGUCUGAGAGGAUGAACGGCCACAUUGGAACUGAGACACGGUCCAAACUCCUACGGGAGGCAGCAGUGGGGAAUAUUGCACAAUGGGGGGAACCCUGAUGCAGCGACGCCGCGUGAGCGAAGAAGGUUUUCGAAUCGUAAAGCUCUGUCCUAUGAGAAGAUAAUGACGGUAUCAUAGGAGGAAGCCCCGGCUAAAUACGUGCCAGCAGCCGCGGUAAUACGUAUGGGGCGAGCGUUGUCCGGAAUUAUUGGGCGUAAAGGGUACGUAGGCGGUUUUUUAAGUCAGGUGUGAAAGCGUGAGGCUUAACCUCAUUAAGCACUUGAAACUGGAAGACUUGAGUGAAGGAGAGGAAAGUGGAAUUCCUAGUGUAGCGUGAAAUGCGUAGAUAUUAGGAGGAAUACC
rnacentral:rRNA from 1 species